AUAGACCAAUCAGGUGACUUCCGGUUCGGUUCCCUGAAAGAAGCCAGAGUUCAAGCGAGAUACUGCUCUUGGAGAUGCUCACCGUAUGGUCAGAAAAUACUUCGACAUUACUGGAGAUUAUGAAAAUGGCACAGAAUUUGAUCUCAGACACCGGGGCACCGGAACAUUGUUUUUGAAAAAGAAAGCAUUUUUUGCUGGUGAUUAAAAGAACGAGAACCAAAAACAGCCUCGCCGGAUUCGUGUUUAGUGACCUGAAAUCGCGUAAAGAAACAGUUGGCAUUCUCGUAUCUUAGGUUUGCCUAGAGUUUCGAAAAUGGAAGAAAAAAACAAAAUUUCUACUUAUCGAACUCUUCAAGACCAGCUGGCAUUUUGCAGCCAGUAGUUUGUGGUCAGAGUUGCAGUCAGCACCAGGAUAUGUGUGACAGUUCUUCACUGUGUUCUUGAAUCUUCCUU